rnacentral:rRNA from 1 species
AUUGAACGCUGGCGGCAUGCCUUACACAUGCAAGUCGAACGGCAGCAUGACGUGUAGCAAUACACGUUGAUGGCGAGUGGCGAACGGGUGAGUAAUAUAUCGGAACAUGUCCUGUAGCGGGGGAUAACCUAUCGAAAGAUGGACUAAUACCGCAUACGCUCUAUGGAGGAAAGCGGGGGUCGCAAGACCUCGCACUAUAGGAGUGGCCGAUAUCGGAUUAGCUAGUUGGCGGGGUAAAGCCACCAAGGCGACGAUCCGUAGCUGGUCUGAGNGGAUGAUCAGCCACACUGGAACUGAG